UGUGGCCCGCGUUCUCUGACAAACCUCCCAGCCCUGUUCUCCUGAUGGGAGUCACCUGCAGUCACUGGGAGCCAGUCCCUCGAGGUGCAGGAUUGUGCCUAGUUACGGUGAUUGUCAAACUGGGUCAUGAAGCCAGCUUAGUGGAAAUUGACCAGCGUUUUGUUAAUGAGAUGAAAUGGAAACUAUCGUGCCGCAUCUGAGGCAGCAAGGAAGGAAGUGUGUCCCAGCCCCACAGGGAAGGUCACCGAUUCAGGAGUUGGGCUUCUCCUCACAGAAACCAAGACCACCUAGAGCCAGUGUUCACGAUCCUCCUGUUUGCUUCCGCCACACUAUGAAAAAUU